rnacentral:snoRNA from 1 species
UGGACCAAUGAUGAGAGUAUAUGAGAGCCAAGGCAUAUAAUUCACCCAAUAUGGCACUGAGGUCCAAG